rnacentral:RNase_P_RNA from 1 species
GGAGCAGGCCAUACGAUCGUCGGGUCAUUUAAGUGAUCCGGAGGAAAGUCCGAACACCAUAGAGCAGGGUGCUCCAUAACGUGGAGUCGCGGCAACGCGAAGGAAAGUGCAACAGAAAGUAUACCGCCGGCAGGAUUGGGCAGGCUUGAUGCCUGUCUGUUUUGCCGGUAAGGGUGAAACGGUGCGGUAAGAGCGCACCAGUUUUUCGGGUGACCGGAAAAGCUUUGUAAACCCCACCUGGUGCAAGACCAAAUAGGGAAAUGUUUGAGGGCUGCUCGUCCGAGUUUCCGGGUAGGUCGCAAGAGGUAACGGGCAACUGUUACCCAGAGAUGAAUGAUCGUAGUCCGGUUCAGAGUAAUCCGGACCGGAAACAGAAUUCGGCUUACGGACUGCUCCGGCC